CGGCGGGAAAGCCCCGGGGGGCUAGCCCUCCCCUGUAACCACAAACGGGCUUAGGGUGGGGGGCGUCAACCUCCGGGGGCGCCCGGCCUUCCCUAUGGGUGCCCGGGUCGCCAGAUGAUGCCCGUGCCCACGGGACGCCUCGUCCGUGCACGGCUCCUCGUAGGAGGAGGCCGAGCACGGUAGAGGCCGAACCGGGUUAGGCCCGGGAGGGAGCGGCCCUAAGGCCUCCGAGGCGUGUUCGUGGAUUCGCGGGCGGAUGUAGCGGCCCGGGAGAGCCCAUGGGGUGCGGGCCGGGCCACCCUGGAGGGAUGCCGCCG
rfam:Thermofilum pendens Hrk 5, complete genome.